rnacentral:rRNA from 1 species
GGGACACGUGGUAUCCUGUCUGAAUAUGGGGGGACCAUCCUCCAAGGCUAAAUACUCCUGACUGACCGAUAGUGAACCAGUACCGUGAGGGAAAGGCGAAAAGAACCCCGGCGAGGGGAGUGAAAAAGAACCUGAAACCGUGUACGUACAAGCAGUGGGAGCACGCUUAGGCGUGUGACUGCGUACCUUUUGUAUAAUGGGUCAGCGACUUAUAUUCUGUAGCAAGGUUAACCGAAUAGGGGAGCCGAAGGGAAACCGAGUCUUAACUGGGCGUUAAGUUGCAGGGUAUAGACCCGAAACCCGGUGAUCUAGCCAUGGGCAGGUUGAAGGUUGGGUAACACUAACUGGAGGACCGAACCGACUAAUGUUGAAAAAUUAGCGGAUGACUUGUGGCUGGGGGUGAAAGGCCAAUCAAACCGGGAGAUAGCUGGUUCUCCCCGAAAGCUAUUUAGGUAGCGCCUCGUGAAUUCAUCUCCGGGGGUAGAGCACUGUUUCGGCAAGGGGGUCAUCCCGACUUACCAACCCGAUGCAAACUGCGAAUACCGGAGAAUGUUAUCACGGGAGACACACGGCGGGUGCUAACGUCCGUCGUGAAGAGGGAAACAACCCAGACCGCCAGCUAAGGUCCCAAAGUCAUGGUUAAGUGGGAAACGAUGUGGGAAGGCCCAGACAGCCAGGAUGUUGGCUUAGAAGCAGCCAUCAUUUAAAGAAAGCGUAAUAGCUCACUGGUCGAGUCGGCCUGCGCGGAAGAUGUAACGGGGCUAAACCAUGCACCGAAGCUGCGGCAGCGACGCUUAUGCGUUGUUGGGUAGGGGAGCGUUCUGUAAGCCUGUGAAGGUGUGCUGUGAGGCAUGCUGGAGGUAUCAGAAGUGCGAAUGCUGACAUAAGUAACGAUAAAGCGGGUGAAAAGCCCGCUCGCCGGAAGACCAAGGGUUCCUGUCCAACGUUAAUCGGGGCAGGGUGAGUCGACCCCUAAGGCGAGGCCGAAAGGCGUAGUCGAUGGGAAACAGGUUAAUAUUCCUGUACUUGGUGUUACUGCGAAGGGGGGACGGAGAAGGCUAUGUUGGCCGGGCGACGGUUGUCCCGGUUUAAGCGUGUAGGCUGGUUUUCCAGGCAAAUCCGGAAAAUCAAGGCUGAGGCGUGAUGACGAGGCACUACGGUGCUGAAGCAACAAAUGCCCUGCUUCCAGGAAAAGCCUCUAAGCAUCAGGUAACAUCAAAUCGUACCCCAAACCGACACAGGUGGUCAGGUAGAGAAUACCAAGGCGCUUGAGAGAACUCGGGUGAAGGAACUAGGCAAAAUGGUGCCGUAACUUCGGGAGAAGGCACGCUGAUAUGUAGGUGAAGUCCCUUGCGGAUGGAGCUGAAAUCAGUCGAAGAUACCAGCUGGCUGCAACUGUUUAUUAAAAACACAGCACUGUGCAAACACGAAAGUGGACGUAUACGGUGUGACGCCUGCCCGGUGCCGGAAGGUUAAUUGAUGGGGUUAGCGCAAGCGAAGCUCUUGAUCGAAGCCCCGGUAAACGGCGGCCGUAACUAUAACGGUCCUAAGGUAGCGAAAUUCCUUGUCGGGUAAGUUCCGACCUGCACGAAUGGCGUAAUGAUGGCCAGGCUGUCUCCACCCGAGACUCAGUGAAAUUGAACUCGCUGUGAAGAUGCAGUGUACCCGCGGCAAGACGGAAAGACCCCGUGAACCUUUACUAUAGCUUGACACUGAACAUUGAGCCUUGAUGUGUAGGAUAGGUGGGAGGCUUGGAAGUGUGGACGCCAGUCUGCAUGGAGCCGACCUUGAAAUACCACCCUU